rnacentral:lncRNA from 1 species
UCACAAGGCAACCCUCAUGAUCCCCGGGCAAAAGGGUAGCUCUGUUUUUAAACCCGGAGGAGGCAUCUUCCCCCGGGGGUUGCCGGGCUUCUGUUCCUGUGUGUGUUGGUCUCCAGGAAGCCAUGGAGAGCUUGGCAGCAGAGACAGAGUCUCGAUAUGUCGCCAAGCUUGGUCUCAAACUCCAAGGCUCAAGUGCUCAAGUGAUCCACCCACCUCGACCUCCCAAAGUGCUGGGAUUACAGGAGAUACACACACACGUAUAUAAUAUAUGUAUUUUUCCUUUUGCACGAAAAUGUUGUGAUUAAAGCUUGAACGUCAUUAGAAUCACAAGAUAACACAAGUGUCCUCCUUAGCUAAACUGAGCCUAUUUCCAUUUGGAUUUGUGCAUCCCAAUAAUUUUGUUCUCUGCAGCCUCAAGGUCUCAUUUGCAUAGAAAGGUUAAGAAAUGAAAUAAAAUCCAUGGUCCUCACCACACAACAUGACUUCUGCACAGAAAACAUACAGUAGGAAAAGUCUGAACUCUUUAGCAAGUCCUCAAAGGCAAAAAGUGGCAUCUGUGGAAUCAAGAAGCAAGUAUCACCUUGACUCAAAUGCCUCAUAUAACUGCAGAAUCCCUCACUGUAUCCAUGUGAAGGAAAAUUGUCAACCCUGUGGUUUGGAUCAAUGAAGCCAAGCAAACAGGACAGCUGCCACUUUUGCAUAGUACUCUUAGAAGAUGUAUUUUAGAUCUGUCAGAUGGCAUUAAAAAAUCUCCUCUAGGUCUCAGUCCGAUGUCAGAAUGAUAAAUUUCAGAAAAACCAAGCUGCCCACUUCUGACUGCUUUGAACUUCAUAGUAGAAGAUAUCAGAAUCUUGCCAUCUGCUAUUUCUACCAAAGCAGGGAAGCUUUCCAAAACUGGUGCUUCAUCACAAAUUUAUGGGCGAAAAGAAUCAAAUUUAUUUCCUUCCUUCCUUCCUUCCUUCCUUCCUUCCUUCCCUUCCU